AUUGAACGCUGGCGGCAGGCCUAACACAUGCAAGUCGAGCGGAGCGGCGGACGGGUGAGUAAUGCCUAGGAAUCUGCCUGGUAGUGGGGGAUAACGUCCGGAAACGGGCGCUAAUACCGCAUACUAUCAGAUGAGCCUAGGUCGGAUUAGCUAGUUGGUGGGGUAAAGGCCUACCAAGGCGACGAUCCGUAACUGGUCUGGUAGGAUGAUCAGUCACCUUGGAACAAGGACACGGUCCAGACCCCUACGGAAGGCGGCAGUGGGGAAUAUUGGACAAUGGGCGAAAGCCUGAUCCAGCCAUGCCGCGUGUGUGAAGAAGGUCUUCGGAUUGUAAAGCACUUUAAGUUGGGAGGCGGUACCAAAAGAAAAAGCACCGGCUAACUUCGUGCCAGCAGCCGCGGUAAUAG
rnacentral:rRNA from 1 species